UUGUAAUGUGUGAUAUUGACGAGGUAACAUUUUCAGCUAUUUUUCUAAUUUUAUUUGAGUUAUUUAUCUUACACCUCACUAUCUCUUCUUUUGACUUUCAUAUUCUUCUUUAUUCUCUUGGUUGAUUUUUAUCCAAAAUGACUUUCUAAAGAAAAUUACUAUUGUCAUUAUUAUGUUUAUUCCUAUUUAUUUCUGUGAAAUGUGAACACAAGUCUAUUUUUCUUCCAUUUGCUGCUCUAAUCUUAGCUAGGUUCCCUUUAGUUUUAUCACUCAGGAAAAAUUAAAGAAAAGAAAAGAAAGAAGAAAAAUUAAUGAAGUGAAAAGAAACUGCUUUUCAUUUAUAUUGCAGUGAACUUGAAAUUUUGCAGUUUGGGAAAUCUGCAAUUGUCAGGCUUCAAUCACCAAUAUGCAACGAAUGCUGUAUUAAAUAAAUUCUUAAUUCAGCUUAAGGAGUUGUCAAUUAGCAUAAAUGACCAGAAAAAUCUGUAAUUUCAUGGAGCAGGAAGUGGUAGACUUCUGCAAGG
rnacentral:misc_RNA from 1 species